CCCUACGGGGGGCAGCAGUGGGGAAUAUUGCGCAAUGGGGGAAACCCUGACGCAGCAACGCCGCGUGCGGGAUGAAGGCCUUCGGGUUGUAAACCGCUUUCAGCAGGGAAGACGCAGACGGUACCUGCAGAAGAAGCCCCGGCUAACUACGUGCCAGCAGCCGCGGUAAUACGUAGGGGGCGAGCGUUACCCGGAUUCAUUGGGCGUAAAGCGCGCGCAGGCGGACCGUUAAGCGGGACCUCUAAUCCUGGGGCUCAACCUCAGGCCGGGUCCCGAACUGGCGGGCUCGAGUGCGGUGGGGGGGG
rnacentral:rRNA from 1 species